rnacentral:rRNA from 1 species
AGAAUCAACGCUGGCGGCGUGCCUAACACAUGCAAGUCGAACGAGAAAGGGUAGCAAUACCUGAGUAAAGUGGCGCACGGGUGAGUAACACGUGACUAACCUACCUUUUAGUGGGGGAUAACCUAGGGAAACCUGGGCUAAUACCGCAUAAUACCUACGGGUCAAAGCAGCAAUGCGCUGAAUGAGGGGGUCGCGGUCGAUUAGUUAGUUGGCAGGGUAAUGGCCUACCAAGACUGUGAUCGAUAUCCGGCCUGAGAGGGCGCACGGACACACUGGAACUGAAACACGGUCCAGACUCCUACGGGAGGCAGCAGUGGGAAUUUUGCGCAAUGGGGGAAACCCUGACGCAGCAACGCCGCGUGGAGGAUGAAGUCCCUUGGGACGUAAACUCCUUUCGAUCGGGACGAUAAUGACGGUACCGGAAGAAGAAGCCCCGGCUAACUUCGCGCCAGCAGCCGC